UACGUAGGGUGCGAGCGUUGUCCGGAAUUAUUGGGCGUAAAGAGCGUGUAGGCGGUUAGGUAGGUCCGUUGUGAAAACUCGAGGCUCAACCUCGAGACGCCGAUGGAAACCCCCUAACUAGAGUCCGGAAGAGGAGAGUGGAAUUCCUGGUGUAGCGGUGAAAUGCGCAGAUAUCAGGAAGAACACCCGUGGCUAAGGCGGCUCUCUAGUACGGUACUGACGCUGAGACGCGAAAGCGUGGGGAGCGAACAGG
rnacentral:rRNA from 1 species